rnacentral:rRNA from 1 species
AUUGAACGCUGGCGGCAGGCCUAACACAUGCAAGUCGAGCGGGGUUUUCGGACCUAGCGGCGGACGGGUGAGUAAUGCGUAGGAAGCUACCCGAUAGAGGGGGAUACCAGUUGGAAACGACUGUUAAUACCGCAUAAUGUCUACGGACCAAAGUGUGGGACCUUCGGGCCACAUGCUAUCGGAUGCGCCUACGUGGGAUUAGCUAGUUGGUGAGGUAAUGGCUCACCAAGGCGACGAUCCCUAGCUGGUUUGAGAGGAUGAUCAGCCACACUGGAACUGAGACACGGUCCAGACUCCUACGGGAGGCAGCAGUGGGGAAUAUUGGACAAUGGGCGCAAGACUGAUCCAGCCAUGCCGCGUGUGUGAAGAAGGCCUUCGGGUUGUAAAGCACUUUCAGUAGGGAGGAAGCGUUGUGUGUUAAUAGUACACAGCGUUGACGUUACCUACAGAAGAAGCACCAGCUAACUCUGUGCCAGCCGCCGCAGUAAAAC